rnacentral:rRNA from 1 species
AUUGUACGCUGGCGGCAGGCCUAACACAUGCAAGUCGGGCGGAGCGGCGGACGGGUGAGUAACACGUGGGAACCUACCCAUCAGAGGGGGAUAACGUCCGGAAACGGGCGCUAAUACCGCAUACUAUCAGAUGAGCCUAGGUCGGAUUAGCUAGUGGGUGGGGUAAAGGCCUACCAAGGCGACGAUCCGUAACUGGUCUGAGAGGAUGAUCAGUCACACUGGAACUGAGACACGGUCCAGACUCCUACGGGAGGCAGCAGUGGGGAAUAUUGGACAAUGGGCGAAAGCCUGAUCCAGCCAUGCCGCGUGUGUGAAGAAGGUCUUCGGAUUGUAAAGCACUUUAAGUUGGGAGGCGUUACCAACAGAAUAAGCACCGGCUAACUUCGUGCCAGCAGCCGCGGUAAUUC